GGUACCAAAUGGAAGUAAAAAGUCGUAACAAGGUUUCCGUAGGUGAACCUGCGGAAGGAUCAUUA
rnacentral:rRNA from 1 species